rnacentral:rRNA from 1 species
CAGUAGCCGCGGUAAUACGGAGGAUCCAAGCGUUAUCCGGAUUUAUUGGGUUUAAAGGGUGCGUAGGCGGCCUGUUAAGUCAGGGGUGAAAGACGGUAGCUUAACUAUCGCAGUGCCCUUGAUACUGAUGGGCUUGAAUGUACUAGAGGUAGGCGGAAUGUGACAAGUAGCGGUGAAAUGCAUAGAUAUGUCACAGAACACCAAUUGCGAAGGCAGCUUACUAUGGUAUGAUUGACGCUGAGGCACGAAAGCGUGGGGAUCAAACAGGAUUAGAUACCCCCGUAGUCCCUGUCUCUUAUAC